GACGAACGCUGGCGGCGUGCUUAACACAUGCAAGUCGAACGGAAAGGCCCUGCUUUUGUGGGGUGCUCGAGUGGCGAACGGGUGAGUAACACGUGAGUAACCUGCCCUUGACUUUGGGAUAACUUCAGGAAACUGGGGCUAAUACCGGAUAGGAGCUCCUGCUGCAUGGUGGGGGUUGGAAAGUUUCGGCGGUUGGGGAUGGACUCGCGGCUUAUCAGCUUGUUGGUGGGGUAGUGGCUUACCAAGGCUUUGACGGGUAGCCGGCCUGAGAGGGUGACCGGCCACAUUGGGACUGAGAUACGGCCCAGACGCCUACGGGAGGCAGCAGGGGGGAAUAUUGCACAAUGGGCGGAAGCCUGAGGCAGCAACGCCGCGUGCGGGAUGACGGCCUUCGGGUUAUAAACCGCUUUCGCCUGUGACGAAGCGUGAGUGACGGUAAUGGGUAAAGAAGCACCGGCUAACUACGUG
rnacentral:rRNA from 1 species